rnacentral:rRNA from 1 species
CCCGGCACAAGCGGUGGAUGGUGUGGAUUAAUUCGAUGCAACGCGAAAACCUUACCUACCCUUGACAUGUCUGGAACCUUGCUGAGAGGCGAGGGUGCCUUCGGGAGCCAGAACACAGGUGCUGCAUGGCUGUCGUCAGCUCGUGUCGUGAGAUGUUGGGUUAAGUCCCGCAACGAGCGCAACCCUCGCCUCUAGUUGCCAGCAUUCGGUUGGGCACUCUAGAGGGACUGCCGGCGACAAGUCGGAGGAAGGUGGGAUGACGUCAAAUCAUCAUGCCCCUUAUGACCUGGGCUACACACGUGCUACAAUGGGCGGUACAAAGGGUUGCAAUGCCGCGAGGUGGAGCUAAUCUCAAAAAGCCGUUCUCAGUUCAGAUUGGAGUCUGCAACUCGACUCCAUGAAGGCGGAAUCGCUAGUAAUCGCGGAUCAGCAUGCCGCGGUCGAAUACGUUCCCGGGCCUU